GGGAGCGUUCAGCAGCUCGGUGUCCCACAGCGUUCACAAACGUGUCCUUAAACCAGAAGGGAGCCACAAUGCCCAGCUGGGCUUCGUUCAGGCCAAUGACGUAUUUGGGGUUCUCCACCAUGAUUCUGUAGUCACACGACAAGGCAAUGAGACAUCCUCCAGCUGGGCUGGAUCCAUUGAUUGCAGCGACCGUCACCAGGUUGGAGCCGUACAGCCGGAUCCACAUCUCCUGCACAGCCCUCCAGAACUCAGCGUAGUGCUCCGUGCUCUUCCCACACAUCUCUGUGAUGUCCAGGCCGGAUGAGAAGACUCUGGGGAUGGCCGAGGUGAUGAUCAGGCCUCGGCAGGCCCGGUCGUUCUCCAGCUUCUCCAGGCUUAUGCAGAACUCAGUGAGGAAGUCCAGGCUGAGACUGUUGACCGGAGGGCUCUUGAACUUCAUCGUGGCUACGCCUGAGCUCGUGUCCAGCUCCACCAGGAUCUUGUUGUUGCUGAAGGCACGGCGCUGGGCGGGCAGGAGGCCGGGGGGCUGCCGGGCAGCUUGGGGCCAUACCUGUGGGCUGCUGCGUGGGAACAGCACACCUGACCGAGCCAUCCGACGGGCAAAAGUCCCUGCUGCUGCCGCUACCGCCGCCAUGUUCUCCAGGACGGUCAAGCGGACGCGGAUCGGCCCCAAACGUCCCAACUCCGCUCCGCCCCCGC
rnacentral:lncRNA from 1 species